rnacentral:rRNA from 1 species
AACGAACGCUGGCGGCAUGCCUAACACAUGCAAGUCGAACGAAGCCUUCGGGCUUAGUGGCGCACGGGUGCGUAACGCGUGGGAAUCUGCCUCUUGCUUCGGAAUAACAGUUAGAAAUGACUGCUAAUACCGGAUGAUGUCUUCGGACCAAAGAUUUAUCGGCAAGAGAUGAGCCCGCGUAGGAUUAGGUAGUUGGUGGGGUAAAGGCCUACCAAGCCGACGAUCCUUAGCUGGUCUGAGAGGAUGAUCAGCCACACUGGGACUGAGACACGGCCCAGACUCCUACGGGAGGCAGCAGUGGGGAAUAUUGGACAAUGGACGCAAGUCUGAUCCAGCAAUGCCGCGUGAGUGAUGAAGGCCUUAGGGUUGUAAAGCUCUUUUACCAGGGAUGAUAAUGACAGUACCUGGAGAAUAAGCUCCGGCUAACUCCGUGCCAGCCGCCGCCGUAACAC